CCCAGCACCAUGUCUGCCUUCAUGCUGCCAUGAUGACAAUGGACUAGACCUCAGAACUGUCUUCAUGGACACCUUCAAAACCAUAGCAGUCACCUUACCUAUAACAGUGCCAUGUGACAACACUGGGUGAUCCAACUUCAAUGCCUGAAGAGUGCUUCUGCCCCGCCCCCUCUACAAUCUGCAAAUUCGGAAAUCACUCAGGUGGGAGAGAGAAGAGGAAUGCACACCGUAGCUGAGAACCUCCAUGAACUCACAUAAAAAGCCAGAUGCAGUGGUGUGGACCACUCCUAUGGCCAGAUGGGAGGUCAAGAGAAGAGAGUAAAUGAGAAGCUUGCAGACCAGCUAGCCUAAAGCAGGAAGUGUGGCAAACAGCAACACACCAGAGAGACCCUGUCUAAGCUCAACAGGGAAGAAGGAGAGCACCAAAGCCAAGCAAAGAGUCCUCUGACAUCACCCACAUACCAGCCUCGAUCAAGCCUUGAUCAAGCAAGCAGACACCCGGGUGUUGACAGUACACGCUGCACAGCACGUCCAAGGGAGAAGAAAGAGCCCCAAGCCCCACUCAGCUACAACUCUGACCGAUUGGAAACAGCUGGUUGGAACAGUAUGAAAAGUACCAGGCCACUUGGUUGGCUUCCCACGCAGAUGCAUACAUAAUCAAGAAUUCCAGAACUGUGGGAAACCCUCCCUGUUCAGGAAAGACACAUGUGGCAGCUGAGUAGUGGACUGGCCAGAAAGACUCCGGGAAGAGGGGGAUGUGACUGCCCCAGCCAAGGGAGUCAAUCCCUAUUGCAUCCCAGCCGCACUCAUGGGGUAUGCUGGUGGCACAAAAACCAUCAGGCUCCACAGGAAUGACCAUUGAAGACUGGGGAGUGUAGCUCAGCUGGGAGAACCUAAUCAGUACCACAUCAACCAGUCCAGGAGCCCAGCCAUGGAACCGUACCACUAACAGUUGGAGUUUUGCCCCUAAGGAGCUGACUGGAUGAGGCUCAACCACAUAAUGGAAGGUCAGCUGCUUUGCUUGAAAUCUACAGUAUGUCUGGCGUGAAGACUUACCUGACAUGCACAAGCCCUAUGUUCAAUCACCAGUACCAUAAAGUAAACAAAUAAAUGCUGUCAGAGUGAUGUCUACACCAGUACCUGGCUGAACAUUGGAGCACCAUGAUCUAAUGAAGUUGACACACACAGUUGAUCAUCACAGAUUGUAACAUCUCCAAGCCUCAAUUUCCUAAACAUUUAAUGACAUUGAUCAUUGAUGUAUAAAGUGACAACGUGACAGCUCCAAGGCAUGGUUCAGAAGCAACUAAAGAGAGAAAGGGUUUAUUUGGGCUUACCGUUUAAGAGGAUACAGUCCAUUGUGAUGGAGACUGCUCAACGGCAGGAAUGUGUGAGGUGGCUGGUCCCACUUGAUGGUCUCAGCAAUGGGAUAGCACAGACUCAUCAAGCCAUGAAGUGGGGUGAUUGAAAACUUGGGGGAGACCAGCAAGCGCUUCUGUCAUUGACUUGCUGGGGCUCAAGUCACCUACCAGCAUCCAUGACCCAAACAAACACCAGACUGUAAGAGGAAGAAAGAGGUUGUAAUUGAGUGUCCAGAAGGUCUCUGCUUGUUCCCAGAAAAAGACUUGAAGAUUUCUUCCAGUGUUUAGCCUGUGCCUCCUCAUUCUCAACAUGGAUCCAAAACCUCUCAGCCUACCCUUUGGUGGAGGGGCUGGUUUGGGAGUCUGUAAGCAUGAGUUUUCUGGCCUGUCAGGGUCCCACCACCCUUGAGCCCCAGAUAAACACACAGACGCCAUAUUAAUUAUAAAAUUGCUGGCCAGAUGGCUAGGGCUUCUUAUUGGCUAGCUCUGUCUUAACUAUUAACCCAUUUCUACUAAUCUAUGUAUUUCCACGUGGUCUUGGUUUACCGGAGAAGGGUCCAGACCUGCUACUCCUUUGGCGGGCUGCAUGGCGAUGGCCUCUGCCUACAUUUCGCCAAGAUUCUCCUCAUCUCCUAGCCCCACCUAUCUCCCUGCGUCUAUUGGCCACAGUGUUUUAUUCAUCAACCAAUAAGAGAAACAUAUACAGAAGGACAACCCCCUCAGGAGUCAGGCUCCUUCUUUUCCAUUCUCUGCCAUUCUGAGCUUUCCAGCAUCCAUUUCCUGUAGGACAAGCUUUGUAACUCAGGUCUCCUUUCUUGGGGCGUGUGCCAGAAGUUAGGCCACUCCUGUAGUUCUAACCAUGUGGUUGAAAAAAAAAAAAUGAUCAGGGCUGGCUAUGUGACUAUUUCAGGCAACACUUUCUUAGAAGCAGAAAGGAGUUAAUUCCCAGCACCCUAAUAAAACCAGCAUGGUGCAGCAUACCUGUAAUGCCAUUGUAACUUCAUCAUCUCCUUAAAGACAGUCUCUCUGACUACAGGUAUAUUCUGAGGCCCUGGAGGUUAGAACUCUAGCAUGUAAGCUUGUGGAGAACACCAUUCAGCCUCUGAUAAGUGUUCUUGGGCCUUGUCCCAAGGAAAUCUAAAGCUCUUUGCUUAUGGAACCCACUGUGGACCUACUGAGGCAGUGCCUGGAGGCUUGUAAGUUUAAGUUCUGAGGGGAGUAACUAUGUGCAUUGGCCAUCCAAUGACUUGGGACACCCAGUGUUAAAUACAUCCCUGUGGCAUCUUCAAUUACCAUUGUGGAUCAUGAGCACCAGAAUGCAUGGAAAACCAACACAGUAGGAAAGACCCAGUAGGAGUAGCAAGGAGAGAGGGAAACUAGCAGAUGGGACACCUCACUUGAAGUUUCAAAGCUGGAAACUAGACCAGAGAUGUUGCUUGAAGGGGAAAAAGUGCUAAAGCUCUGGGUACCAUGCAGGAGGAGAGGAGCAUCGGAGGGGGAGAAGCUGGACAAUCUCUAGGGCAGCAGCUGAUACUUCUCCCUACACCAUCUCCACCAUCCCUGACUAUGGGCUAAAGAAAGCAGGGUGGGGUACCAGGCAUGGAGAAUGAGGAGAUUUAGGUGUCUUCAUUUAAGAAGGGUAAGUGUUGGGAGGCACGUGGUUCAAUUGUCUCGGAAUUGAUUUUUGGGAAUAAAUUUCAGUCCCUAGAUUCACCUGAUGAUGCUAUUUGGGGGUGUAGCCUUCAGGAUGUAACAAGGGUUAGGUGGGGUCAUGAGGGAGGAGGUUACUUGAUGCAUCAGUGGCUUUCUAAGAAGAGACUGGAGUUAGAACACACAGUCUUUCUCACCGUGUGCUGCCAUGAAUCACCUCAGGGUGCUACAGAGCGUCCCUCCAGCCAGGACUCACCAGACACAGCCACCACAGCUGCCCCUUGUUCAGGGGUCUCUACCACCACCACGGCCAGCAGAGCAAUAGUCUUCAGGAGGCAAAGGGUAGUUCAUUUCAAUAUGACUCAGUCGAUGGUGUUGGUUCAAACUUUGGGAGUCUGACUUCAGGUAGUUUACUUUGGCCAUAUUUAAGCACAGCACAAUUUAGUGAAGACUUUCUUGGUGAUAAUGAACUCAAUCCAUGUGUACAACAAAGCUUAAGACAUGACUAUGUUAUGCCUUUUUCUUCUGUAAAGUACAUGUGACAUCUUCUAUAAAGAUGGGUCCUACGACUGACUACAUGUGAUACCUUCCAUAAAAGUCAUAGAUUGACAAACUCACCACAAGGUCUGGUGAAAGAUCUGGUGUGGUCUCAGCCAUACAGAUAGUGCAAAAGUCACUAAGCUAUUAACUAUGUCUGCUCCCAGCCUCCUGGAUGGGUUAUGCAUCCCUUCCUUCGAAAGAACAACCCUGUGCGUUUAACAUCCCUGGUUCCCCUAGCACUUUCUUGUGAACACAGGGACCUCUGUGCCUCCUACACCAUUGAAGAACAUUUGUUCCAAUCAACAACUCCAGAUGUAGUGCCAUAGUUCAAA